UUCGGGAGUAGCGCGGGAGGACAGGAGGCGCAGGUUGUGAGGGACGCAGGCCCUGGGGCUUCGGUCUCUGUCCUCCGAGCUCAGAGCCUCCAGGCUUCUUCCCGGCCGCGCGCUCAGCACUCACUGUCUUACGGUCCCGAAGCGCUUUAAGGUGCGCAGUCCGCAGGCCUUGCCUACUGAUCUUCCAGCCACCCCUUGAAGGAAGCAGUUGCAGACGCUGAGCACAGUGCCAAACCUAUAUAGAAACUCAUUUGGGAUAUGGAGGAGAAUAUGCCACCAGUUCUCCAAAGUGGAGGGGUGAAGCCAUGCCUCCCUUUCCCUCACCUGUGUAAACUGGGUAUGAAGACAGAGGACACCAGGAAAGAAGCCAGAGAAAGAGGAACAGUGAUGAAGGUUUCCGUUCAGCUCUUCAUUCUACCCUUCAACUCCUAUGCAGCCAACCAUCAUACCAGUUGAUUCUAAGUGCUGGGAGCCUCUGUCUACACUUACUCUCCACCUCGCUCAGGCUCCAUAGGCAUGGUGUCUACCUGCUGGCCCAUCCUGGGAAGUCAUCCCAACGUGACAGAAUGGAAAAGAGAGGGCAUGGAAGACUAGUUCAUAGGUAAGGGCAAGAGGGACCUCGCAGAUGGUAAGGUGCUCUGUGGAGAAUCAGUUUGUCCAACUGAUAAACAGAAAACAGUACAAAGAAAUGUGCUAUCACAGAACGAUCUUAAGCACUGGAACCAGUCAGUCCCAGAUUCAAAUCCAGCUCUACCCUUCUCUAGGGAUGGUUUUCUUAUUCUCCAUCUCCUCCCCCUUAAAAUGGGGAUGAUAAUACCUCCUCAUGAGAGGCUGUGAGUAGCUGAUGGGAUAAUUUGUGUAAAUUGGCUAAUAAAGUAUCUGGUAAACAGUAGGGUCCCAAUACAGGAAGCUUGAGAUGGUAUUAAAUCACUGGUCAGGCAAUAGAUGCUCGAGACAGUAUGACAGCCACUAGCCACAUGUGGUUAUUUAAUUUAAAAUUCACUUCCUCAGUUGCACUAGCCACAGGCCAAAUGCGCAAUAGCCACAUGUGGCUAGUGGCUACCAUGGCGGAAAGCAUAGAUAUGGAACAUUUCCAACACCACAGAAAUAGCACUGCUAUUAGCACACCACAGGAUAGCACUGCUCUGGGGUUCUGAAUAAGAGAUACUCCCUGGGUCCAGCAGCACGGAUACUGGUCUGGAACUGCUCCCCUGACCAUAUCAGAGGUAUGUGCCUGUGACUGAAUCAGCUGGUGCUUCACUAGAGACUGUGUCAGACUAUAUGGGCUCCCAAUUCUUUCCUUUGCCUCCCAUUCAGUGCUCACCAGUACUAGAGUGGAUCUUGAUGCUGAUCACCACAAACCCAGGCCUCCCAGCAGAUUCUUUUUUUU
rnacentral:lncRNA from 1 species